AUACGUAGGGGGCGAGCGUUGUCCGGAAUUAUUGGGCGUAAAGGGCGCGUAGGCGGUUACUUAAGUCUGAUGUGAAAGUGCGGGGCUUAACUCCGUAAAGCAUUGGAAACUGGGCAACUUGAGGACAGGAGAGGAAAGUGGAAUUCCACGUGUAGCGGUGAAAUGCGUAGAUAUGUGGAGGAACACCAGUGGCGAAGGCGACUUUCUGGACUGUAACUGACGCUGAGGCGCGAAAGCGUGGGGAUCAAACAGGAUUAGAUACCCUGGUAGUCCACGCCGUAAACGAUGAAUGCUAGGUGUAGAGGGUAUCGACCCCUUCUGUGCCGCAGUUAACACAAUAAGCAUUCCGCCUGGGGAGUACGGCCGCAAGGUUGAA
rnacentral:rRNA from 1 species